rnacentral:rRNA from 1 species
GUACACUCCUGCGGGAGGCAGCAGUGGGGAAUUUUGGACAAUGGGCGAAAGCCUGAUCCAGCCAUGCCGCGUGCAGGAUGAAGGCCUUCGGGUUGUAAACUGCUUUUGUACGGAACGAAACGGCCUUUUCUAAUAAAGAGGGCUAAUGACGGUACCGUAAGAAUAAGCACCGGCUAACUACGUGCCAGCAGCCGCGGUAAUACGUAGGGUGCAAGCGUUAAUCGGAAUUACUGGGCGUAAAGCGUGCGCAGGCGGUUAUGUAAGACAGUUGUGAAAUCCCCGGGCUCAACCUGGGAACUGCAUCUGUGACUGCAUAGCUAGAGUACGGUAGAGGGGGAUGGAAUUCCGCGUGUAGCAGUGAAAUGCGUAGAUAUGCGGAGGAACACCGAUGGCGAAGGCAAUCCCCUGGACCUGUACUGACGCUCAUGCACGAAAGCGUGGGGAGCAAACAGGAUUAGAUACCCUUGUAGUCCCAUGA